AUACGAAGGGGGCUAGCGUUGUUCGGAAUUACUGGGCGUAAAGCGCGCGUAGGCGGAUUGGUCAGUUAGGGGUGAAAUCCCAGGGCUUAACCCUGGAACUGCCUCUAAUACUGCCAGUCUUGAGUUCGGGAGAGGUGAGUGGAAUUCCUAGUGUAGAGGUGAAAUUCGUAGAUAUUAGGAAGAACACCAGUGGCAAAGGCGGCUCACUGGCCCGAUACUGACGCUGAGGCGCGAAAGCGUGGGGAGCAAACAGGAUUAGAUACCCUUGUAGUCC
rnacentral:rRNA from 1 species